AGACAACUAUAAUUGACAGUUGCAAAAGAGAUAAUACAACUAGCAUGAAGAGUACCAUUUAUAUUAAAAGGUUAAUUUCUAACUAUAGGUGGAAUUGUCGAAGAGCAUUCUCACUAACACUUGUUGGCCAAAUUAACCAAAAUUUGCAUCUUUGUAGCUUCAAGCAAAGAAGACAAUUAGUCCUAAAACAAAUUUAUGUUUGUCUAGUUUUGUGUAAGUUUCUUGAAA
rnacentral:misc_RNA from 1 species